rnacentral:rRNA from 1 species
CCUACGGGUGACAGCAGUGGGGAAUAUUGGACAAUGGGGGCAACCCUGAUCCAGCCAUGCCGCGUGUGUGAAGAAGGCCCUCGGGUUGUAAAGCACUUUCAGUGAGGAAGAACGCCUGGUGGUUAAUACCCAUCAGGAAAGACAUCACUCACAGAAGAAGCACCGGCUAACUCCGUGCCAGCAGCCGCGGUAAUACGGAGGGUGCGAGCGUUAAUCGGAAUUACUGGGCGUAAAGCGCGCGUAGGUGGCUUGAUAAGCCGGUUGUGAAAGCCCCGGGCUCAACCUGGGAACGGCAUCCGGAACUGUCAAGCUAGAGUGCAGGAGAGGAAGGUAGAAUUCCCGGUGUAGCGGUGAAAUGCGUAGAGAUCGGGAGGAAUACCAGUGGCGAAGGCGGCCUUCUGGACUGACACUGACACUGAGGUGCGAAAGCGUGGGUAGCAAACAGGAUUAGAUACCCCGGUAGUC